rnacentral:tRNA from 1 species
GUCCCUGUAGCGCAAUGGAUAGCGCGUUGGACUUUUAAUCCAAAGGUCGUGGGUUCCAAUCCCUCCUAGGAUG